rnacentral:lncRNA from 1 species
UGGGGAGACGGCCCGCGCGCUGUUCGAGAGGGUGCGCAGGUUCCGGGCGCACAGCGAGGAGGGCGACCUGGUGUACAAGGUCAGUGUCUUCUCCCUGCUCUGCUCAUUCUGCUCUACAGUGCUACACUGUGCUAGAGUGUACGACAUUGUACUGCAUUGUGUUUCAAAUUGCACUACAGUGCAUCAUAUUGAAUUGCACUGUGCUAAAUUGUACUGUGCAAUAGCAUACCAUGUGGUAUGGUGCUGUUCUAAAUUGCACUGUGCUAUAGUGUACUAUAUUGUAUUCCAUUUUGUUAAACUGCACCACACUACAGUGUACUAAAUUGCACUGUGCAAUAGUGCUCAAUAUUGAAUUGCACUGUGUUAUAGUGCACCAUAUUGUAUUGUGCUGUACUAAAUUUCACUGUGCUACAGUGUAUUAUAUUGGAUUGCAGUGCGCUAAAUUGCACCGUGCUAAACUGCACAGUGCUAUAGCAUACCAUAUUGUAUUGCCCUGUGUUAAAUUGCUCCGUGUGGCACUGCAUUAUUGUGUACUAUAUUGUGUUACACUGUGUUGUAGUGUACUACAUUGUGACGCACGGUGCUGUAGUGCACUAUUUAAUGCUGACCUGACUGCACGUGGUAUUACUACUUGCUGAGCUCUGUACUGUGGUGCUGUGUCUCCCGAGGUGUAUGUGGCUCAGACGGUGUUCAAGGUUGUGAAGUUUGUGCUGAUCGUGAGCUACACCUCUCCCCUGCUGGGCUCCAUCUCCUUCACUCACGAGUGUCGGCCGCAGAUCCACGCGCUGACGGGCUACAGCGCCUUCCGCUGCACGCACGACCUGGCCAGCGUCCUGCGCAAGCUGCUGCUGUCCUACCUGGCCCUGGUGUGGCUGUACGGGCUGCUGGGGCUCUACACUCUCUGCUGGAUAUUCCGCAGGUCCCUGCGGGAGUACUCUUUCCAGCGCGUGCGUGAGGAGAGCUCGAUCCGCGACGUGCCGGACGUGAGGAACGACUUUGCCUUCCUGCUGCACCUGGCUGACCAGUACGACCCGCUGCCCGGCCAGCGGCUGGCCGUCUUCCUGUCGCCCGGCAGCGAGACGCGGCUGCUGGAGGAGAGCCUGGAGCAGCAGUGGGGUGCGGAGAGGCUGCGGGGCCUGGUGACCCGGGACCACCGCGGCCGCACCCAGCUGCACCUGUGUGGCCUGCCCCGCCUGCCACCUGCCCUCUUCUCCCUGGGCCAGCUGGAGGUGCUGAAGCUGGAGCUGAUCCCCGAGGCCAGGCUGACCGCACAGGUGUCCCGCAUGACCGCACUCCGGUACGGGACUGAAAGAGAGUGUGAGUGAGUGUGAGUGUGAGUGAGUGUGUGUGAGUGUGUGUGAGUGAGUGUGAGUGUGAGAGUGUGAGUGAGUGUGAGUGAGUGUGAGAGUGUGUGUCCUGUGAGCUGGAGGUGCUGAAG